rnacentral:rRNA from 1 species
UACGUAGGGUGCAAGCGUUGUCCGGAAUUAUUGGGCGUAAAGAGCUCGUAGGCGGUCUGUCGCGUCUGCUGUGAAAACUCAGGGCUUAACCCUGAGCUUGCAGUGGGUACGGGCAGACUAGAGUGCGGUAGGGGAGACUGGAAUUCCGUGGUGUAGCGGUGAAAUGCGCAGAUAUCAGGAGGAACACCGGUGGCGAAGGCGGGUCUCUGGGCCGUAACUGACGCUGGAGGCGCGGAAAGCCGUGGGGAGCGAACAGG